GACAGAGGGUGCAAACGUUGUUCGGAAUUACUGGGCGUAAAGCGCGUGUAGGCGGCUAUGUAAGUCGGGCGUGAAAUCCCACGGCUCAACCGUGGAAGUGCACCCGAAACUGCGUAGCUAGAGUCCUGGAGAGGAAGGUGGAAUGCUUGGUGUAGAGGUGAAAUUCGUAGAUAUUAGGAAGAACACCAGUGGCGAAGGCGACUCACUGGACAUGUAUUGACGCUGAGGUGCGAAAGCGUGGGGAGCAAACAGG
rnacentral:rRNA from 1 species